rnacentral:misc_RNA from 1 species
AAGGAUCAUUAACACGUACGAAAGUACACACCAACCCUGUGAACCUUAUUUAUAACGAGAUUCUGUACGCCCUCUCCCUUUGUCUAGGAGGGUGUGACGUGGUGAUGCUAGUGGAUCCUGUGUCAUGCGGGAGCAUCACGUCACGCCCACGCGUGUCUUUACACGAGCCCUAGGCGGAGGUUAUCCAUACCCAACCAUUGGCAACACUACCUAUUUCACCUUUAAACACAUUCGUCUGAUGUGGCGGCUUGGAGAAAUCCUCGCAGCUUGAUUAUCUAAACUAAGCACAACUCUUAGCAAUGGAUAUCUAGGUUCUC